CAGGUCAGCCUAAUUCUACACUGAGCUAGGUACGUAGUGAGGGAUCUGGAGAUUUGAUUUCUUUCUCAUCCUCUGAAAGCUCACCACCUAAUGGGUAAAUUGAUGACUACACAAGAGGAGGAAUUGUAGUCAGUGCCCCAGGAGAGGUGUGUCAGGGAUCAGAUGUGGGUGGGUCAUGCCAGCCCUCACUCAAGUCUCCAGCAGAGCCUCUUCCCUUAUUUGAACCCAGGCACAUUGGAGUAGAGAGACUGGAUCAUCAAAAGCCCUAGGCAAGAAGUUCUGCACCAUUUUCUCCAAAGACACACAAGAACUACUCCUGUCUAGACCCCUGGUCCAGAGCCAGGCUGCGCCCACCAGAGGAGAGACCCUCCUCUGCUGAUGUCUUACGUCUCAACAUUAAGCCAUGUCUCUGGACUGAGAGGCUCACGUGGGGACCCCCAGAGUCCCUCCAUCACCGUAAACCUGCAGGCUUUAUCUCAAUGGAGCUGGAGGGCAAAGGAGGAGUAGGUAAGAUCUCUUACUUUCCAACAGGGGCUCUUGGGGGCUCCUGGGGUGGUGGGGGUGCAGAGCCACCCAGGACUCUCAGAGGAGUCUUGCCCCGUGGCUGACUAGCUGGGUGAUUCUGCCCUAGUCAUUGAACCUUUCUGAGCCCCAAUUUCCUCACCUGCAAACUCAGUAUAGUAAUCAUCAUCAUGAUUCCUACCUCACAGGGUUGUUGUGAGGAAUAAAUGAGAUAAUAACAUGUGAAAGCUCUCAACAAAGACAGUGGUUAUUAUCUCCUCUCCCAGCCCUGCCAGGCAGCCCGGCUCCUCCCUUUGUAGGCCUAUAAUAAUGUCGGGGCUGGCUGUCUCCUGGCCGGGCCAGCCUCUGACCGCAGCCCCGGGCAUUGGGGUUCUCCCCGCAGCUCCUAGUGAGAUGAGUGGGUCGUGGGCAGAAUCUGGCUGUUUGGCAGUCAGUGGCUCAGGCAGCCUACAGCCUGCCCUAGGCCGCAGCCUCGCUCACUAGGGCAGAGGGGACUUGGUGCCAAGCCCCAGGUGCUGAGUGCCUGGCAGAGAGCUGUAGAUACUCAGUCCAUGUAGGGUAUGGGAUAGGUUGCAGAGGUGGGAGGUGAGCAGGUGGCACUUUUCAUAUAGGCCCCAGGACAGAACUUCCAGGCUCUGCCAGAGACCUCUAGCCAUUUUCAGUCCAGGCCGACGUCAGAAAGGCCUGGCCUAUAAAUUACCAUCCACCCUUAUUCCCGCCUGGCCUGGCUGGGGGCUCCCUCAACCAGCCAUGUUCCCACGGCCAGCACACCUCCUACCCCUUUCUAGGAAAAGAGAACGGGAGGAGGACCAGGUGUAGGGCUGGGGGAACCACAGGCUUCCCUCCCAUCUGCUUAGCUUCCUGGGGUCCAGAGGAGGAAGAGGAGGAAGGCUGAGGAGGCCAGGGGCGGAGAUGGGCAGAGGCUCGGGGUGGGGGCGUGGGACCAGUCCUGCUCUAUUUCACUUUGGAGAGUUCCAUCAAUAAUUCAAAGUCACAGAGGCUCCAGGUCUCAGGAGCUGGGCUCUGGGACACCCGGCAGCCAAUCAGAUAUGCCCCCCACCCCCACAAGGGCCUGAACUCCUGCCUCCUCCCCACGGGUCUCUCUACUCCUCCCCCCACACUCGAGCUCGGGGGAAUUGGUAUUCUGCAGGCAGCACCCCAAGCUUGCGACCUCUCCUGGCCCUGCUGACGCAGAAGUGCUGGGGCCAAACAGGUACAGCAGAUAGGGACAGACGGCCCUGGAUGGCCCACAGGUUGCCCUGGGCAGGAUCAGGGUCGGAAGUGGAGCUGUACCACUCGCGGGAGGGCUCCUAAACCCUGCUCUCCUGUCUGCUUCAAUCUGCCAGACAAUUGACAGGCCUCCCCACCACGAACAGCCCCCUGGAAGCUGUCUGGUCAGUGCUGGCAUCUGGCAGAGAGUUCCUCUGUCUGGGGAGAGGGUCCCCACUGCGACUGAGGCCUGGAGCAUGCCUGUCUCCUCCCCCAACCCCUAGUUUCGCCCUUGAGGACAGUGCCAGCACCUUGCAGGUGGGCAGACAGCUUGGGUUGGUGCCCCUCGAGUUACCUGGCGUGGCUGUCCCUGGAGGCUGCAGGAGGCACCCUGGGCGGGAGAGCGGGCCGCGGCCCUGGCUAUAGCUCUGCUGCCUAAGACAGGGACAGGACGGGCACUCACAUGGCCGCGAGUCUCCUCGUUGCCAAAGGAACAGCCUGAACUGAAUGGCCCUUUCAUGGGGCAGUGGGAGGCCAGCCGAUUGGCUGUGAUCCCCCGUGCCCCUCCCUGCCCAGCGUGGGGCCCCUGCUGCCCGACUCCUUUCGCUGUUUACCCAGAGCUGGCAAGUACAGGCAUGCGGUUCCAGGCAGCACCUCCCCAGGUGCCUGCCACCUCGGACAGUGGGGCAGCCUUCCUGCCAGCCUCCUCCUCCGUGCAGGCUCACCAGGGCCCUUGGCCCCUCCCUGUUCUGCCAGGCUUCCCUUGCUUCCCCCUCGUUUUACUCAGUUCCCCUUCUUGGGAGGUGUGGAGGCACUCUCCCUCCUGAAAGGACGAGGGGACCAGUUGGCCAUCACCCCGCCAGCAGGUACAGAGCACCCCUGGACCAGGCAUCCCACUGGGUACUUCUUAGGCAGCUUGUCAUUUUCCAGCAGCCCAAAGUCCAACACUGAGACAGCCUUCCCAACGCCCCUGGCUUACAAACAUCAUUUGAAGGUUUAAUUUUUUUAAAUGUUAAAUUGAAAUUCAAAAUACUUUGAUUCAAAUAGACAAGAAAUUUAAAUAGUGAAACAGACAAGUGAAGCAUUUAGCAUUCAUAUUUCUGAAGUUAUUAAAGCUUAAAUCAGCACUAAGACUUCUGGGACACUGCGUAUUAAUCACUCACUUAAUCCUCACGACUGCCCUAAGCAACAGGUGCUGUUAUUAAGCUGGUGUGCAGAUGAAGAAACUAGGGUUUGGAGAGGUAGUGUGGAUCCCGCGGGGUCACACUGGGACUGGGACCUACCUGGGCUCUGUCUGCUAACGCCUACCUUGAAGCCAACCCGCUGCCCCCUUCUGUCUUCCCGGGCCUUUCCCUGAGUUGGCACAGGGUGGGGGGCCUGCAGCGUGGGGUGAGGGGGUCCAGGUGGCCGCCGUCUACACAAAACAGCGUGGCAGGUACAGACUCCCAAAGGAGCUGCCCUUCGAGUUUCCACUGCAGGCAAAUGAAAGCGAAGCCAGGCGCAACCUGAGCCCCAGAACAAUGCUGAUCUGCUGAGAGAUGGUCCAGGAGGCCUCCAUUUCACCCGUGAUGCCAAGCUCCUGCAUGUCCCCCGCCUCCUACCCUUUUGGCAGCUUGGGUACCCAGUCUAGUCUCCGACAGGUGGCACAUACCUGCCUAUUCUCCGCGGAUGGAUGAGUCGAACCGGGCACAAGCAUGGAGCUACGGGUGAGUCCCGGCUGGUACUGGAGCGGCGCAGUGAACAGCCGCUGACGCAGAGGGCUCCCUGGCCUCGGCUCUUGCCCGCCUCUACCCCACCUCCGCCGGGGGCCCAGAAAGGACCUCCCCGGGAAAUCGGCGCCACCCAGCGGGCCGCCGCCUCAUUGCGCCGGGGCCGGCAAAGCCACACCUCGCGUCUCGCGUCACUGAGACGCGUCACGGCGAUUGGCUUGUUCUUAUUGUGACGUCAUCAGAGCCCCGCCCGACCAGGAUCUCCCAGGCGACCGACAUAUACAGAGAACCACGUGGAGAAAAGGCACAGGAGCUUGGAGGGGGUGGUUGGAGCACCUGAAGUGGACCUGAAUAUGACACGACGGGACAGCUGGAAGCUGGCGUUUGUCCGUUACCACUCUCCCACGUCCCUCCUUGUCUUCUGUUUCCCUGAGGAACUAGAGGCAAUCAGGAGGGAAAUCCUCAAAGUUCUGCCUACAAACAUAGCUGAAUUCAUUCUUACCUCUGCUCCAGGAGCAGUGAGAGCUGUGUCCCUCUUGUGCAAGACAAAUAAAUGUCUUCCAGAUCUCAGCUCUUUUGUUUCCUUAUUGUUACCCCCAAACCGGGUUCCCCUUUUGGUGGGUGUCAAUCCAAAAGACACAACCAAGUCAAAAGAUCAGGAGAAGGAAGAAUUUAUUACUUGCAGCAAGUAAAGAGGGUACAUGGGAUCUUUCCCCAAGCAGUGUGUCUCUGAACAGCAAAAUUGGGGGUUUUAAGCUAAGAGUACAUGCAUAUUCAUGAAAGGGAUUGAGCAGUGUAUGCAUAUUCAUGAAGGGGCUUAAGCGGAAUUCCGCAGAGAAUUGGAUCAAAGGUUAACAGACUUCAGUUUGGUUCAGCCCCUCAGUCACUGACUCAUUGCGACCCCAUGGACUGCAGCACACCAGGCUUCCCUGUCAUUCACC